UACGUAGGGUGCGAGCGUUAAUCGGAAUUACUGGGCGUAAAGUGUGCGCAGGCGGCCGCGCAAGUCGAGUGUGAAAUCCCCGAGCUUAACUUGGGAAUUGCGCUCGAAACUACGUGGCUGGAGUGUGGCAGAGGAAGGUGGAAUUCCACGUGUAGCGGUGAAAUGCGUAGAUAUGUGGAGGAACACCGAUGGCGAAGGCAGCCCCCUGGGCCAAUACUGACGCUCAUGCACGAAAGCGUGGGGAGCAAACAGG
rnacentral:rRNA from 1 species